UACGGAGGGUGCAAACGUUGUCCGGAAUCACUGGGCGUAAAGGGUGCGCAGGCGGGGCAGCAAGUCGGAGGUGAAAGCCCAUGGCUCAACCAUGGAAGUGCCUUCGAAACUGUUGCUCUUGAGUCCCGGAGAGGCUGCCGGAAUUCGUGGUGUAGCGGUGAAAUGCGUAGAGAUCACGAGGAACACCAGAGGCGAAAGCGGGCAGCUGGACGGGUACUGACGCUCAGGCACGAAAGCGUGGGGAGCAAACAGG
rnacentral:rRNA from 1 species